rnacentral:rRNA from 1 species
CCAUACCGCGUGGGUGAAGAAGGCCUUCGGGUUGUAAAGCCCUUUUGUUGGGAAAGAAAAGCAGUCGAUUAAUACUCGGUUGUUCUGACGGUACCCAAAGAAUAAGCACCGGCUAACUUCGUGCCAGCAGCCGCGGUAAUACGAAGGGUGCAAACGUUCUCGGAAUUCUGGGCGUAAGCGUGCGUAGGUGGUUGUUUAAGUCUGUUGUGAAAGCCCUGGGCUCAACCUGGGAAUUGCAGUGGAUACUGGGCGACUAGAGUGUGGUAGAGGGUAGUGGAAUUCCCGGUGUAGCAGUGAAAUGCGUAGAGAUCGGGAGGAACAUCCAUGGCGAAGGCAGCUACCUGGACCAACACUGACACUGAGGCACGAAAGCGUGGGGAGCAAACAGGAUUAGAUACCCUGGUAGUCCACGCCCUAAACGAUGCGAACUGGAUGUUGCGUGCAAUUUGGCACGCAGUAUCGAAGCUAACGCGUUAAGUUCGCCGCCUGGGGAGUACGGUCGCAAGACUGAAACUCAAAGGAAUUGACGGGGGCCCGCACAAGCGGNGGAGUAUGUGGUUUAAUUCGAUCCAACGCGAAGAACCUUACCAGGUCUNGACAUGUCGAGAACUUUCCAGAGAUGGAUUGAUGCCUUCGGGAACUCGAACACAGGUGCUGCAUGGCUGUCGUCACCUCGUGUCNUGAAAUGUGGGNUAAGUCCCCAACGAGCGCACCCUUGUCCUNAUUGCCACACGUAUGGGGGGAACUCUAGGAAACCCCGGUGAAAACCGAAGAAGGGGGGAUGACUCAAGUCAUCAUGGCCCUUACGACCAGGNCUNCACACGUACUACANCUGGUAGGGACAGAGGGCUGCAAACCCGCGAGGGCAAGCCAAUNUCCAGAAACNCUAUCUCAGUCCGGAUUGGAGUCUGCAACUCGACUCCAUGAAGUCGGAAU